UUCUACCGCAGUGCAUUCGUCGCUGCGUUCGUGCCUGUUAUGUGCGCUGCAACCUCGCCUUUGAAAGGACGACAACCUUUCUUUUUAAUUACAAGUUUAAUGUUUGCUUAAGACGAUGAACACAUUGCAAAUGGCGGCAGGAGUGGAUCCGCUACAUCGGUGAAGCGACGAUUUAUAUUACAAGCGAGGCUAAUUGUAUUCUUUCUUUAUAGGUGAACAUGGGACUGUAUCGACUGCAAGGACGUGAGUUACAAAAAGCUGUAAUAUUCUAGCAUUAACGUUUGAACAAUACCAACGUGAUGUUCACUUCGGUUUCUUUUCAGGUAGUGUCCUGUCUUAACGGUCACGCAUAUGCGUGCAAAACUGCAACUGCUUCUUACAUCGAAGAGGGGUCUGGUGCCACAUGCUCGGACAAUUAUUCGUCGGCCAUUUCGUUUGAGGAACUGUCGUGUUCGUCACUAAGGAUGAUCUUGGUUGAGCUUUGCAGUGCCAGCCUGGUGCAUCGGAGGGGUUGUGUCCAUGCAACGUGUGCUCCAUAUGUGUGUGUGUUGGGAUUAGUGAACCGUGUAUGCUUUCCAUUCGGCCAACGAUGGUGUACUGGACGAAAUUUAAAGGUAUGUGCACGCCAAUAAAAUUUGGUGUUUCAAGUUCAA